GACGAACGCUGUUUGCGUGCUUAACACAUGCAAGUCGAACGGAAAGGCCCUGCUUUUGUGGGGUGCUCGAGUGGCGAACGGGUGAGUAACACGUGAGUAACCUGCCCUUGACUUUGGGAUAACUUCAGGAAACUGGGGCUAAUACCGGAUAGGAGCUCCUGCUGCAUGGUGGGGGUUGGAAAGUUUCGGCGGUUGGGGAUGGACUCGCGGCUUAUCAGCUUGUUGGUGGGGUAGUGGCUUACCAAGGCUUUGACGGGUAGCCGGCCUGAGAGGGUGACCGGCCACAUUGGGACUGAGAUACGGCCCGGACUCCUACGGGAGGCAGCAGUGGGGAAUAUUGCACAAUGGGCGGAAGCCUGAUGCAGCAACGCCGCGUGCGGGAUGACGGCCUUCGGGUUGUAAACCGCUUUCGCCUGUGACGAAGCGUGAGUGACGGUAAUGGGUAAAGAAGCACCGGCUAACUACGUGCCAGCAGCCGCGGUGAUACGUAGGGUGCGAGCGUUGUCCGGAUUUAUUGGGCGUAAAGGGCUCGUAGGUGGUUGAUCGCGUCGGAAGUGUAAUCUUGGGGCUUAACCCUGAGCGUGCUUUCGAUACGGGUUGACUUGAGGAAGGUAGGGGAGAAUGGAAUUCCUGGUGGAGCGGUGGAAUGCGCAGAUAUCAGGAGGAACACCAGUGGCGAAGGCGGUUCUCUGGGCCUUUCCUGACGCUGAGGAGCGAAAGCGUGGGGAGCGAACAGGCUUAGAUACCCUGGUAGUCCACGCUGUAAACGGUGGGUACUAGGUGUGGGGUCCAUUCCACGGGUUCCGUGCCGUAGCUAACGCUUUAAGUACCCCGCCUGGGGAGUACGGCCGCAAGGCUAAAACUCAAAGGAAUUGACGGGGCCCCGCACAAGCGGCGGAGCAUGCGGAUUAAUUCGAUGCAACGCGUAGAACCUUACCUGGGUUUGACAUGGAUCGGGAGUGCUCAGAGAUGGGUGUGCCUCUUUUGGGGUCGGUUCACAGGUGGUGCAUGGCUGUCGUCGGCUCGUGUCGUGAGAUGUUGGGUUAAGUCCCGCAACGAGCGCAACCCUUGUUCACUGUUGCCAGCACGUUAUGGUGGGGACUCAGUGGAGACCGCCGGGGUCAACUCGGAGGAAGGUGGGGAUGACGUCAAGUCAUCAUGCCCCUUAUGUCCAGGGCUUCACGCAUGCUACAAUGGCUGGUACAGAGAGUGGCGAGCCUGUGAGGGUGAGCGAAUCUCGGAAAGCCGGUCUCAGUUCGGAUUGGGGUCUGCAACUCGACCUCAUGAAGUCGGAGUCGCUAGUAAUCGCAGAUCAGCAACGCUGCGGUGAAUACGUUCCCGGGGCU
rnacentral:rRNA from 1 species